rnacentral:rRNA from 1 species
CCUACGGGAGGCAGCAGUGAGGAAUAUUGGUCAAUGGGCGGAAGCCUGAACCAGCCAAGUAGCGUGCAGGAUGACGGCCCUACGGGUUGUAAACUGCUUUUAUACGGGACUAACGCGCCUUACGUGUAGGGCUUUGCAUGUACCGUAUGAAUAAGGACCGGCUCAUUCCGUGCCAGCAGCCGCGGUAAUACGGAAGGUCCGGGCGUUAUCCGGAUUUAUUGGGUUUAAAGGGAGCGUAGGCCGCAUGUCAAGCGUGCUGUGAAAUGUCCGGGCUCAACCCGGGCCUUGCAGCGCGAACUGGCGUGCUUUAGUCCGCGGAAAGCAGGCGGAAUUCGUCGUGUAGCGGUGAAAUGCUUAGAUAUGACGAAGAACCCCGAUUGCGAAGGCAGCUUGCUGCAGCGGAACUGACGCUGAUGCUCGAAAGCGCGGGUAUCGAACAGGAUUAGAUACCCCUGUAGUC